rnacentral:rRNA from 1 species
UCCUUAGAUGUUCUGGGCCGCACGCGCGCUACACUGACGAAGUCAGCGAGCAUGUCCUACGCCGACAGGUGCGGGGAAUCUUGUCAAACUUCGUCGUGAUGGGGAUUGAUUAUUGAAAUUCUUGAUCAUCAACGAGGAAUUCCUAGUAAGCGCAAGUCAGCAGCUUGCGUUGAUUACGCCCCUGCCCUUUGUACACACCGCCCGUCGCUACUACCGAUUGAAUGGUUUAGUGAGAUCUUCGGAUUGGCGCCACUGCGGCUCAGCAAUGGGCUCGGUGGAUGCCGAAAAGUUGAUCAAACUUGAUCAUUUAGAGGAAGUAAAAGUCGUAACA